GCUGGACAACUCAGGCCCUACACCUGCCUUCCUAGGGCCUCUAUUCCAGAAGAGGAACUCAGACCAUCAGCAAGAGAAAUUAGACAGGUGGCAGCAUCUUCCAAUUCGUGGGUCAGUGCCGGUGGUUCCUCUUCCCCACCAUAGAGGAGUGUUCCUGCUCAGUCCAUCUUAAAAUGCGUUUAAAAUGGGGGAAACCUAGAAACAAAAUAUACAGAAUUUGAGGAAUGUGAGUAUUGUUAUAUUUUUUGACUUAGGCAUGGAUAAAAAUAUGAGUUCACAUUGUAAAAAUCCACCAUGCUAUGCUUAUGACCUUUGCACUUUUCAUCUGUAGGUUAUACUUCUAUAAGUUCAAAAUGACACACACUUUAAAUGUUGUAUUUUAAUCUAAAUUAUAGUUUGCACUAGUUUUCUCACAUUUUGAUGAUUAGACUCUGUGUCAAAAUUUUUUAAAUUUCUAAAUACAUUAGUACAGACAAAAUGCUCAGAGCCUGAUGUGUAGGAAGCACUUAAUAAAUGUUAGCACUGUUACCUCAUGUGCAUACUCAUGAUGUUUCAUUUACAAUUUCCAGUCCUGCAUUCUCUGCAGUAGAGGAAGAACUGGGAGACACUUUCCUGGCAAUCUGAUGGCAGAAUCCUUCUAGCAUUUUAAUCUAGCCACUGUGCUGUGAGCAGUUCCAGCAUCAUGGAGAGGUGACAUAGAGGAGAACAAAAAUGCACGAGCUGACAGCCCCAUUGUGAUCCCAUUGGCAGCCAGCACCUACUGCUCGCACAUGAGUGCCUCAUUGCGCCAUCUUGGACUUUCCAGGAUAGCUGAACCCCCAGAUGACUACAGUCCCAGAAGACAACAUGUUGAGCAGGAAAACCACCCAACUGAGCCCAGCCAACCCACAAAAUCUUGACAAGUGACAAAAUAACUGAUCUAAGCCAGUAAAUCAUGGGCGGGUUUUUUAUGCAAGUGUAGAUAGCUGAAAAGCCGGAGGGCAGGUCGGAUCCCAGGUGGUGGUUUGAGCUGUAGCUCAGAAGAAAAGGUCUGGCUGGAGAGGCCAUAGGUUUAGGAGACUUCGGCUUCAUAGAAAUGUGAAGUCUCCAUCGUGGAUGAAAUCACCUACACCCCUUUUCACACAUGCCCAGCGCACCUAGAGCACAGCUGACCCACAGCAAAUGUUUGCUGAAUUAAAUUCAACA